UACGAAGGGGGCGAGCGUUGUUCGGAAUCACUGGGCGUAAAGCGUGCGUAGACGGUUAUGUAAGUCGGGUGUGAAAGCCCCGGGCUCAACCUGGGAAUGCCAUUCGAGACUGCAUAGCUAGGGUGCGGAAGAGGGAAGCGGAAUUUCCGGUGUAGCGGUGAAAUGCGUAGAUAUCGGAAGGAACACCAGUGGCGAAAGCGGCUUCCUGGUCCAGCACCGACGUCAGGCACGAAAGCGUGGGGAGCAAACAGG
rnacentral:rRNA from 1 species